ACGGUCACUGCCUUGGUCCCCAUCUCAGAAGACCCUCCUGGGAGAGAAAGUCCAGAACACAUUUUGGUCUGGCCCGAUUCACACUGAUGGUGAUGAUAAGCCCUUAACCCAGUGUCUUCAUCAGGAACACAUUCCCAAAUGUCUGCUUCACAGAACUGUGGUCACCUUAAGGUCCCACGUGUGCUGGGGGAGGCGGGGUUGCUCUCCAAGAAUGAAAAGUCGUAGAGAAGCUUCAGAGAAGAAAAGAGCCCAUUGUUUUCAAAUAUCUCUUGCGUUCCUUCAGGCACCUUCAGGUGCACAGCCUGCCCUCGGGGCUUGCGGCAGGUGGGAAAGGAGCCUUGCCCGUGGCUGGCCUGAGCUGGUUCCCAGAGUGGCCACACAGCAGGCGCAGAGGCCGUGAGGAGCUCCCUCGGGCCGUGGGUGAGAAACAAGAGUGAGAGGGAGGGAUGGGAGCGUCUUUCUGGAAUUACCACAGGGAUGCUCCCUGUCCGCAGUCGUGGGCUGCUUUUUCCGACCGACUCUGGUUCUGGUCGGUGACGAGGCCCGUGAGGUCCAGGAGACUCCGCAGAACCUAGCGGACGCGGACGGGCGCUCGCACGCGCGACACGCUCUCGGUACUCGGUGGUAGCUUCUAUUUAGAGGAUUCUGGGGACGCGGCCGGACAGGCUGCUCAGACACUUGCUUUCUGUCACGUUGCUCUGGCCUGGGGAGAGCUGGGCAGGGAGGAGCAGAAACUGAGCCAGCGGCCUGAGCCUCCGCCAGCCCCUUCCUGGAGGGUGCGGGAGGUUGUCCGGCCCCAGCAAAAGGUCAGGGCUGGCUGCCGACAGCCAAUGAAAUCGCGUAAUCAGAUUUUCUUUUCUGAGAAGGAGGACGGAAGGGAGCCAUCCCACUGAUCAGUGAGCUGGUCGUUUUCACAGACAAAAGUCUGUCUGUUUGGGGCUGGGGGCCAGCUUUCAGGAUUCUUUACCCCUGCCCCCCCCCAGCCCCCAGGGUCUGGGCUUCCAGGAGGCGGAGACACGUGCUUUGUCACCGGACGAAUAUAUGAAUAAACACCUGAUGACAGGCCAGCUGUCUCGGUAUGGACCAGCCUCCAUGCUCACCACUCGUGGUUCCCUGUCGGAGAGGGAACCGUGCACAGGUUAACUUCAGGAGGGAGGGACCCCUGAGACCAUGACAGCGGGUGCCACUGGCAAGCAGCUGUGAGUUCGUCCCUGUGCUGGUCCCGCCCCGCCUCCCUCGCAGCUCAGAUGUUUUCUGAAGAGACGGACACAUCUGGGUCUGUUUUCCCUCUCAUCCCUGUCCCCCUGCCCGUGGUCGGUAGUGGUGUCCUUGCUGGCCUGUCUCCAGGUGGGAGCAGGGAGCUGCUCUCUGGUCUCCGACCCUGCCGAGGGGCGCAGGCUCGCACGCCGGGAACAGGGUCCGCUGCUGGUAUGCCACCCGGGUGCCCUCAGAGGGCCCUGCAGAAGUGGCCGCAACCCAGGCCCCCACCAGCCGCUCCCUGCCCGGCAGGCCGUGUCCCCCCAGUGGCCACCCCUGCAGGGUCUUCUUGUGGCUCACACAGAGAAUCCAGACACUGCAGAGACCUGAACGUCAGACAGAGGUUUCCUCGUCAGGCUGGAGAAGGAGACCUUCCACCCCAGCCCUCCGUGAGCGGACAGCACGAGCCCGAGGCCGAGGGAUGCGGGCCCAGAGGCAGGGCUCUAACUGCGGCAGCAAGAAGAUGGUGACGCACCUGGGGGAUGGGGCCGCCAGCCUAGGGACACCGUCGCUGCAGGACGCCAGACAUGGGAAGAGGGGCACCCACACCCCAGCACGUACGGCGGGAUUGUCUACGGCGGCCCCGCUGUGGAAGCGGCACAGCGGUCCACAGACUGACGGACGGGCGAAGAAGAUGUGGUCCUUCCGUGCAAGGGAGUGUCACUCAGCCAGCGCAAAGGGUGGAGUCCUGCCAUCUGGCACAACCUGGAAGGUGUUGGAGGGUGGAUGCUGAGCGGGAGACGUCCAAGAAGGCAAACACCGCGUGAUUGUGCUCGUUUCUUUUUAACUGCGAAUCACCACUGCAGAAAACAGAGUCAACAAAGGCAGCUGUGGCUUGUGCCCAACGUGGAGGCCGCACGCACCUGGGGUCCAGGCCUGAGGCUGGGGGCCAGCAGGAAGCCCGGAGAGUGAUGAGGCCCCGUGUGUGCGAACCUGGAGCCCGGUUCCUGUGUCUGCUCCGUCCGAAGCGACACGGGGAGCAACUCCUUUCUCAAAAACACCAUCCUCUCAGGUCAUGCCAUUCCCACUUGUGGAGGAAGAAACACCAGCCUGAGACUCCAUGCCUGGCCCUUCCUUCCUCACGGGGCAAGACCCUGACUCCAGGUCUCCAGGUGACCUCAGGGAGGUCAGGAAGGCCAGCUGCAAACACACACCUGAAGGCCUGGGACGGGAAAGGUCUUUCCAACAUGCUCGUGUGUCAAAGUGGGCUGACCUCCCCAGGAAGUAGCCUGAGUGACAGGAUAGACCUAGAAAUGGUAUCUCCUCAUCUAACACAAGAGUAGUCACACUGGGCGCCGGACGCGGGCCCCACUUGGACAGGACAAGUAUCCUAAAUUCACUUAGAGGGUGUCCCAGGGAGACCGACCCUGGGGUCUGGAAGGAUGGUUUGCAUUGUUCAGAA